rfam:Opitutaceae bacterium TSB47 genomic scaffold Scaffold6, whole genome shotgun sequence.
GGGGGUGUUCUGGAUUCGACCCUUGGUUGGAGCACGCCGCUGCCGUUCGAGGAUGAAGGUUGGCCUCGUUAAUCAUCCUUCAAAACAAUAAUAGGCAACUACGAAGAGAUGCCCUUGGCCGCCUAAUAGCGCGGCCUCGUUUGCCCGGCGACACCUGCUAGCCGGAACAAGCGUCGACAGCAGGCAUAACGCAUGGAGCCGCCCGCGGUCCGAGCGUCGUACACUUCAUCCGGGGGAUAGCCUGUGCUUAAGCGCGUGAAGUCGCGUGACAGAGGCGAAACAAACACUUCACUACAACGGUAGACGCGGCGCGUGAAGGUCAGGGGCACGCGGGUUCAACUCCCGCCACCUCCACCA